GCCCACGUAGCUCAGCAGGCAGAGCGGCUCUUUUGUAAAGAGCGGGUCGGGGGUUCGAUUCCCUCCGUGGGCU
rnacentral:tRNA from 1 species